GAGACUUUCUGUUCGAGAGGAAAAUGCCAGGCGGAGAGGAAAAAAGAAAAAGAGAUCACCUGCAGGGACUGAAGCAAGUAAAAAGGUGAUGUUGAGCCAGACAUUCUGGUUGGGACUGUGGAGGAGGAGCUGGGGGCUACAGACAUUCUGGUUGGGACUGUGGAGGAGGAGCUGGGGUCUGCAGAGGAGUCGGGCAUGGCAGGAGAGGAGCUGGGGGGCACACUAAAGAGUUCAGAACCAAAGAAAAAGAUCACAGAAAAAUUGCCCUCUCUUGUCAAUUUAAAUGUGCACAGAAGGUAACCACUGAAAGGGAACAAUGGUUCUUGGACUACUACAAAUUGACACAAAACAGGAAACAAGAUUACAUGGCAAUGACAACAGAAUGUGCGAUGAAAGAAAGGCAAACAUGCUCAUUUAAAUUCUACCUGAAUGUUGAGGGUGAGAGGAUUAGAGUGCGCAAGUCAUUUUACCUGGGCACACUGGCAAUUAGUCAGAAGCCAGUUUACAACACACAUUUAAAACAAAAACAAAUGACUGGCAUGCCAAAAACCUGAUUCUAGGACUCUAAGAGGCUCCGACAGACAAAAGAGAUAUUCUCACACUUAAAUCUAUCACUUUCAAUCUGACAGACCUUUAUCGGAGCAUACAUCUGAACAUUGGAUAGGCAGGCAGAAAUAACCAAUCAAUCACAUUCCAGUCACUGGCAGUAACAACACACACAACACAUCCACAUCCUGGUAAUUGUGGUUUUUAAGUACUGAAUGUACUGUGAGGAAUUCUAAUAGAAGCCUUACUUGCCCCUUGUACAGUAUGAUUGCUAGUCACUUGGAAAAUGCUAAAUAUAUUAUAUGUAAGCCGUUUGAGGAAUUAAAGAAAGAACGUGUUUCUAUUAGUGUUAAAAACAUAACUGUGUAAACAAAAACAUAUAAAAAGCACAAAAGCACAACCCAUCGAUGUUGCUUUACAUUGUAGGAAGAAAUCUCCAAUGAAGAAGAAGUAGUUCAGUUUAAAUACCGAUGCAGCAAAAAUAAAUGUACUGGGUAGGAGUACUUCCUUAGUGCGGCCUUUUAGAUAAUACUCCAGAGCCUCAAGAUACCUUCAUUAUAUUUCAUGACAUUAAGCCGCACACAAUAAAAAAAAAAACGGCUUGACUGAAGUGCAACAGGUGCAAGUCUGUUGCAGGCAGCUUAAUUGCUUGUUAACCCUGGUGUUGUCUUCCCUUUUGUGUAAACAACCCUUGUCCCCCGGGUCGAAAAAUUCCCUGCCUUCAGUAAACCCCUAAAAUAAAGCAGCUUACUGUAAUUGAGUUGUGAAUGCCAAAUCUAUUUAGGAUGAAGAAACAACCUGUCACUGAUCACAAAGUGUGUGAAUUUCUGAAUUUUUCCUCUUCACAGUGCAAAAAGACAUUUAUUCAGUGAAGACAGCAGUUGUUUUAUACAAGCUCUGUCAUAAUGCUUUUCUUUACUGAAGUGGAGAUUUAUUAUAAAUAUUAUUAUUUUUUAAGGUGCUGCAUAUGCGGUUAAGAAUAUUUUUGUAUCAAGAGAUAGUACUUGUGGAUCUCUGCAUCCCAAAGACUAGAUUCAGCCUUGCCUCAGGACCUGUGUGUGUGUGUGUGUGUGUGUGUUGUGUGUGUGUGUGUGUGCUAAGAUUAGCAGCCCUAUGUAGACACGCAGGUCAAUCUCAUCCAUCCUUUUGCAGGGGUCAGGUAGAAAGUUCAGGCAAUGUUCUGGGCAUGGGAAACAGCAUAUCAUCCUAAAUCCAAAAGAAAAAAAACAAUGUAUGCUACGUAAUAUUUUUGCUUUGGUCAUACAUUGGGUCUGAAAGUUUAUACAAUAAAGAUAAUCAUAAAAA